UCUCACUUCAUUAGAAGUGUGACUUCUGUACACUUUAUACAGUACACUAUAAAAUAAGUGUAUUUUUAGUUGCAUAUCAGAGUACUUUCAUAAAAUACGUUAGAAUAAUAAAAUGUAGGCUAUACACUGCAUGAAAAGAGCUGUAUCCAGACAAAUACGGAUGGGAAAUCCCUGCUAAACUUUAGGUUUGCCAGAUAAAUGAGGCAGAGUGCUUGGAAACGUAAUACUCAGAAGUAAACUCGUGAAACAUCCAGAAACCUUGUGUAUAUGGAUGUAUACUGGUGGAAGUUUCUAGGAAUCCUCACAGCUGGUUGUAAGGAGUGCUGGUUGUGAGGUGUGAAGGGUUAAUGACAGAGUUGCUGUCUCUGUUUUCAAAGCUGGGUGGGGGGUUCAAGGCAGCACAUAACAUAAAAACAUUAUAUAUCUACAAGUGUGUUUACUAAAUACAUGUAUUAUUAUGCUAAUGUAAUUUAAUUGAUAAAGGUUUUUUUUAUUUAAGAAAAUCUGAGCAUCACUCAAAAUAACUGUCAACAUGUUUGUCAACUAAACAUGUUUUGUAAACGUUAUACAUUUUAUAAAAAUAUUUAAUAUUUUUAUUAUUGAUAAAGUAUAAAGAACAAAUCAGUGUGAAAACGCAGAUUAUAAAAAGUACAUAAAGUGCCAGCAGAGGAUCCAAAAUAAUGAAAAAAAAAAAAACAUCCAAUGCAACUUGGAAAUUGUAGUCAAAAUACAUCUACAGCAGCAUGCUAAAGCAGUACCAACGCCAGGGCAAAAGACUCAAAUUCCCAGAAUGCACCUGCACCCACCCAUUCAUUCCCACCAAUCAGGAUCAACGGCAUUUUUCAAACCGCUACUGACUCGUUUUCAUGCUAAACAGUACGGCUGAGAGGUCAUGUACCAUGUGGUCGACCUUGCUGACGCUGAAGAGGUUUCUGUGUAAAAAUGAUGACAUUGAGACAAACAGACCAGUUCUGGCUGCCGUGGAGGUCAACACACCACUGAUCUACUGGCUGCCCUUCAACGUGAUGCCCAGCCGAUGCCUGACCACCGACGGAACUAGGGCUGCACGAUAAGUCGCAUGUGUUUGUCAGGCGCAUCUCCUCAGUAAUGCCGGUUCCUUGAUUAGUAUUAAAUCGCCAUCAGCUGUUUUCAGAUGUAGCAGCUUUAACUACACAGAGCCGUAGUUCACUGACAAUCGGGGCAAUUUCGCAUUAAUUAUCGCGGACGUAUCGGCUGCGAUAUGUAUGCGAUAUGGCCCAGCUUGUCAGGGAACUACGGCUCUGUAGUUAAAGCUGCUCCAUCUGAAAACAGCUGAUGGCGAUUUAAUACUAAUCAAGGAACCGGCAUUACUGAGGAGAUGCGCCUGACAAACACAUGCGAUUUAUCGUGCAGCCCUAGACGGAACCCGUUAAAUCUCCUUAUCCGUUUACAUCCCAUAUAUAUAUAUGUGUAUAUCUUUUCCUCCUAGGACUUUUUGUUCCUCCCUGAGGUUUUUCUCCUAGGGUUUUUUUAACCCCGGGGAGUCAAGCAACAUUGGCUUAACUUAGCACCCUCUUGUAUACGAGACAUUAUUAAUUUGCUCACUUGUAAAGUUUAUUCAUAGCCGCUGUAUUUUGCUACUUAUAUUGUCUGUCGAUUUUUCUGUUUCCCCUGCUUCUUUUAAUGUAAAGCUGCUUUGAAACAACUACAAAUUGUGAAAAGCGCUAUAUAAAUAAAAUUGAAAUUGAAAUGUCUCUUUCCUGUUUUACAGAUGCAGUGAGUGAGUGAUUCCCCAACAUCGAGGUGGCAGAGAUCCGGGACCUUCUACGGAGGAAGUGCAACAAUGCCAGUUACAAGGCCUCCAGUAGUUCAAAUCAGAGCUAGAUGUCCAUAUAGUACAAGUUGUUCGCAAUUGUUCUCUUCCCGGCAUUUCAAAGAAAGUCGACUGUUUAAGGUUCCCCAUUUUGCCAAUAUCUGUUUUG